rnacentral:rRNA from 1 species
GACGAACGCUGGCGGCGUGCUUAACACAUGCAAGUCGAACGGAAAGGCCCUGCUUUUGUGGGGUGCUCGAGUGGCGAACGGGUGAGUAACACGUGAGUAACCUGCCCUUGACUUUGGGAUAACUUCAGGAAACUGGGGCUAAUACCGGAUAGGAGCUCCUGCUGCAUGGUGGAGGUUGGAAAGUUUCGGCGGUUGGGGAUGGACUCGCGGCUUAUCAGCUUGUUGGUGGGGUAGUGUCUUACCAAGGCUUUGACGGGUAGCCGGCCUGAGAGGGUGACCGGCCACAUUGGGACUGAGAUACGGCCCAGACUCCUACGGGAGGCAGCAGUGGGGAAUAUUGCACAAUGGGCGGAAGCCUGAUGCAGCAACGCCGCGUGCGGGAUGACGGCCUUCGGGUUGUAAACCGCUUUCGCCUGUGACGAAGCGUGAGUGACGGUAAUGGGUAAAGAAGCACCGGCUAACUACGUG